GUACAUCCCUGGGCAUCAUCAGGUUGUUGGAUAUACUGUAAUAUAAUGUAUUAGACUUAACAUGCAAAAUGUUUUAGUCGGACACAAGCAGAUGAGAAAUAUUUUAGGAAGAGAAUACACAAAAGGUUAAACUUUACUCCACAAUACUACACAUUAUGAAUACCUCAUCUGCACUGCUCUGUCUGUCUCCCACUUGCGUGGCGUCGAGAGGAUCAACGCUACAGAGUCCCGUGUCCUGCGAAAAAUACAACACAUUUCGGCGUAUAUAUUAGAAGACUGGAGAUACAACAAAAUGUUGUAAUCCGAAACUUUGCAACAGAUGAAUUGCGAGUAUUAUGUCAUACAUUAACAAUUCACAAAAGCAUUUGACAUUGUCUUAGCAUCUCGAACAAUCAGACUCUAUUAAUACUGUUUACAUAAAUGAAAUCAAGUAAAUAAACUAUUUCAAAUAUUUUAA